UGGGGAAUCUUAGACAAUGGGGGCAACCCUGAUCUAGCCAUGCCGCGUGAGUGACGAAGGUCUUAGGAUCGUAAAGCUCUUUCGCCGGGGAAGAUAAUGACGGUACCCGGUAAAGAAGUCCCGGCUAACUCCGUGCCAGCAGCCGCGGUAAUACGGAGGGGACUAGCGUUGUUCGGAAUUACUGGGCGUAAAGCGCGCGUAGGCGGCAUGCCAAGUUGGGGGUGAAAUCCCGGGGCUCAACCCCGGAACUGCCUCCAAAACUGGUAAGCUAGAGGUUGUGAGAGGAUAGUGGAAUUCCGAGUGUAGAGGUGAAAUUCGUAGAUAUUCGGAAGAACACCGGUGGCGAAGGCGACUGUCUGGCACAUUUCUGACGCUGAGGUGCGAAAGCGUGGGGAGCAAACAGGAUUAGAUACCCCCGUAGUCC
rnacentral:rRNA from 1 species